CUUUUCAACAUGGGCGUACCGCAGCUGUAUCACGUAUUUCGCAGACAAUUAGCAGAAGACAAAUAUUGUGCAAAUAUUGCUGUCAACUGUCCAUUUCGUAUUACGGACUUACAACAAAAAAGCAGAUCGCGGACCAUCACUAGUGCUGCCUCUGCAGAGCGAUUUGUGAAACUUUAGUGCAUUCUUUUCCAUACAACUAACAACAACUGGCUUAAAGUCGGUAUUACGGAUGCUUUUGUCUGCCACACAACAGCAGAUAUUUAGCAAUUUCGUUUGUCAAAUUUGCGACACCUUUUGUAUCUGGUGCUGAAUUGUUGCUAACUAUCUGCAAGUGUAAAAUUUGUGAAAUUAAAUUAAUUAACUUGAUUUAGGUAUGUACUAUGGACAGAGCUCAAAUAAUAAAUGGGGCUUUGGAGUCUAAGGAAAUUAGGUCGGAUACAUACGAAUCAGUGCGUUUGCGACGCUGUCUUCGUGAUCAAGCCUGACCCCUUAAUCUAUCGGAAAGUUUGUUCAGAACACAUUACAGAAUUUCGAAACAUCAAUAUUUACAAUUGUGCUCUGAAUUAAAGCCGUUAAUAACCUAGAUCAUCAAGACGAACAAGAAUAGAAAGUAAAAUGCAAGAUUUAUUCUUAACUAAAUGUUUUAAAUAACUUGUUUAUACAGGUGUUAACAGCAUUGCAAAUUUUCAUACCAGAAACCUGUGGGAAUGAGCUUUUUGCAUUUUGAGUUAAACUGUAGUAAAUCCAAUGCCAUUAGGGAAGUGGCUAUGGCAUUAAACAAUCUUCCAGUUUUAUUGAAACAUUUAAAGUUUCUGCAAACAGUACAAUGGGUCACAAGUUAUUAUAAAUGGGUUUUACAAUAAAUUUGGCUUUCCUGGGGUUUCGGGGUGUAUAGAUGGCACUCAUUUGCACUUAUCAGAUCUUCUGUAUAUGAAGAAAGGUUUUAGAACCGCAAGCAUUAUAAUUUCAAGAAUGUGCAGAUAAUCUGUGAUAGGGAUCUUAACAUUUUAAGUAUUGAUGCAACAUUUCAUGAUACAUUUGUCUGGCUUAACACAACUGAAUAUGCCUAUGCAGGACCUGCACCAUAAUAGUGAAAAAGUUUGGUUUUUAGGCAAGUAAAACAUCAUGAGCUCUGUCUCAGUAACCUGACUACAAAAUAAUACUCAAUCUAAAAGUAUGUUUAAAACUGGGAAGGCCGUUAAUAUAUAGUACUAUAGUAAUGUUUAUUGUCAUACCAGGAACACUGUUGACCAUUGUGAGUAUUGAAAGCCAGUUGGAGAUGCUUGUUGGUACAUAGAGUACUGCAUUAUGAUCAUCAUAUGAUAGCCAAGACCAUAAUUGUUAGCUUGUAUUGCAUAACAUGGCAAACACACAUGGGUUUCCAGUGCCCCAACUCUCUGACGAAGAUGCUGAAAUUGAUAUUUCUUAUCAAAUUCAUAACAUUGUAUUUUUUGGGAGAGAAGAGGAAACACAGCACUUAGCACCAUGUCAACAUUCAAGGGUGGUUCAAUUGGAUUGUGGAGAACAGACAUUAAAUUUAGUCCAACCUCUGUAUUCUAGUAAUUUUAUGUAGAUAUUUUUAAAACUGCUGUUCUUAAUUAUGUGAACUGAGAGGGCAAGAAUAGCCUAAUUAUUUCUGCCUAUAAUUUUUUAAUUGUGCUUAGUGUAAAUAUACAUAUUUCCUUAACAUUUUUGUGUUUAUAGUAAAGGAUGGAUUCAUAACUAUUUGAAAGCAAAAUUGUGAGGUUGUUUUAUUAAGACAAUGUUUUAAUCUGUCGUGCUCAAUUUGUUCUGUAUCAUUUUAUCUUUAUGUUUACCCCGUUUGUAUGUUGUAUUGUUAUAUAUAUUAUUGUAUAUACUGCUGUUUUAAAUAAUAGAAUAGAAUGAAUAACAAAUCGACUAGUAAUUCAUAAUUCUUCUAGAUUUUGUUGGAUACUUACAUGAAUAUUACUUACAAAAUGAAAAACAUAAUUCAUAAUUUAGACAAAAUGUGGAUCAACCACCAUUGAUAUUUGUUCAUUGUGAUAAUAAUAAUAAUAAUAUAAAUAUAAAUAUUUACUAACAAUCACGCCACGUUAACUGGUCCCGUGAUAAGUUCGUAAAGAACUUUUGUUACAGGUACCAGAUAACGGAAAUAAAUGUAGGAUUUUUAUUAUACACAUACAUAUAUUUAAUAUACAUCCAUAACCCUGAAAAAGACAUUUAUAUUUAUCAUACAAAUAUCUUCCCUUGGCGGGAUUCGAACCCGCGACCCACUAGUGUAGUGACCAUGUCACUUACCACUACACCAGACGGCCGUUAGAUAAGUUUGAUAAUAAUUAUUUUUGUUUAAUUUUGUUUUAUUUGAAUAAUAAUUCUUAAAUUAGGAAA